CUCUUUCGGCCGCAGCGUCAGACUCAGCUUUAGUGGAGGACCCAGUAGGCGCACCAGCGCUAGAACUGCUUGCAGCACACAAACUCCCACGCCUUUCCCCUCCUCUCACAGGUACCUACCCUUAUCCCCUCCUCUCACAGGUACCUACCCCUAUCCCCUCCUCUCACAGGUACCUAGCCUUAUCCCCUCCUCUCACAGGUACCUACCCCUAUCCCCUCCUCUCACAGGUACCUAACCCUAUCCCCUCCUCUCACAGGUACCUACCCCUAUCCCCUCCUCUCACAGGUACCUACCCCUAUCCCCUCCCCUCACAGGUACCUACCCCUAUCCCCUCCCCUCACAGGUAACUACCCCUAUACCCUCCUCUCACAGGUACCAACCCCUAUCCCCUUUUCUCACAGGUACCUACCCCUAUCCCCUUUUCUCACAGGUACCAACCCCAAUUCCCCUCCUUUCACAGGUACCUACCCCUAUCCCCUCCUUUCACAGGCACCUACCCCUAUCCCCUCCUUUCACAGGCACCUACCCCUAUCCCCCCUCUCACAGGUACCUACCCCUAUCCCCUCCUUUCACAGGCACCUACCCCUAUCCCCUCCUUUCACAGGCACCUACCCCUAUCCCCCUCUCACAGGUACCUACCCCUAUCCCCUUUUCUCACAGGUACCUACCCCUAUCCCCUUUUCUCACAGAUACCUACCCCUAUCCCCUUUUCUCACAGGUACCUACCCCUAUCCCCUUUUCUCACAGGUACCUACCCCUAUCCCCCUCUCACAGGUACCUACCCCUAUCCCCUUUUCUCACAGGCACCUACUCCUAUCCCCCUCUCACAGGUACCUACCCCUAUCCCCUUUUCUCACAGGUACCUACCCC
ensembl:lncRNA